GAUGAACGCUGGCGGCGUGCCUAAUACAUGCAAGUCGAGCGAACGGACGAGAAGCUUGCUUCUCUGAUGUUAGCGGCGGACGGGUGAGUAACACGUGGAUAACCUACCUAUAAGACUGGGAUAACUUCGGGAAACCGGAGCUAAUACCGGAUAAUAUUUUGAACCGCAUGGUUCAAAAGUGAAAGACGGUCUUGCUGUCACUUAUAGAUGGAUCCGCGCUGCAUUAGCUAGUUGGUAAGGUAACGGCUUACCAAGGCAACGAUGCAUAGCCGACCUGAGAGGUGGAUAGACGAAGCAGGAAGUUAGCUACGGUCCAGGCCAACAGGGGAGGCAGCCAUAGGGGAGUUUCUGAAAUGGGUGUAAGACUAACAAAGCUACGUCGCGAGGGAAGAGAAGGUCUUCAAAUCGUAGAACUCUGUUAUACGGGACGAACAUAGAAGGCAACAACUGUGCACAUCCUAACGGUCCCUAAACAGAAAGCCAAGGCUAACUACGUC
rnacentral:rRNA from 1 species